ACGCUCGACACCUACGGGGGCAGCAGUCGGGAAUAUUGCGCAAUGGAGGGAACUCUGACGCAGUGACGCCGCGUAUAGGAAGAAGGUUUUCGGAUUGUAAACUAUUGUCGUUAGGGAAGAGAAAGGACAGUACCUAAGGAGGAAGCUCCGGCUAACUACGUGCCCGACAGCCGCCGGUAAUCUGAGCGGGCUGGCAAGGC
rnacentral:rRNA from 1 species